rnacentral:piRNA from 1 species
UNCCCUCUGAACUGAGACCUCAAGUGCCGGC